CUCAAGUUCAAUAGUGAUUCUAAAUGAAAACUCUUUUUCAUUAAUCACACUACUAUGGCCAUAAACUUAUGGAUUCAGCUUCUCAAUUCUCAUAGGAUUACUCCUCUCUAUCAAGAUCGAUAGAUCUCAUCUAGAUGCACACGUUGCUCGCAUAGCUUAACCAAAUGAAAUCAACAUCUAUUAUAAAAACCCAUGAUUAAGUCAAUAUUUAUGUGUAGU
rnacentral:lncRNA from 1 species